rnacentral:rRNA from 1 species
UACGUAGGGGGCAAGCGUUAUCCGGAUUUACUGGGUGUAAAGGGCGUGUAGCCGGGCCGGCAAGUCAGAUGUGAAAUCCCAAGGCUCAACCUUGGAACUGCAUUUGAAACUGUUGGUCUUGAGUAUCGGAGAGGCAGGCGGAAUUCCUAGUGUAGCGGUGAAAUGCGUAGAGAUUAGGAAGAACACCAGUGGCGAAGGCGACUUACUGGACUGUAACUGACGCUGAGGCAUGAGAGCAUGGGGAGCAAACAGG